GAUGAAGAACGUAGCGAAAUGCGAUAAGUAAUGUGAAUUGCAGAAUUCAGUGAAUCAUCGAAUCUUUGAACGCACAUUGCGCCCCUUGGUAUUCCGAGGGGCAUGCCUGUUCGAGCGUCAUUAUAACCCCUCAAGCUCAGCUUGGUGUUGGGGCCUGCUGCACUGGCAGCCCUUAAAAUCAGUGGCGGCGCCAUCUGGCUCUAAGCGUAGUAAUUCUUCUCGCUAUGGAGUCCUGGUGGAUGCUAGCCAUCAACCCCCAAUUUUUCUAUGGUUGACCUCGGAUCAGGUAGGGAUACCCGCUGAACUUAAGCAUAUCAAUAAGCGGAGGA
rnacentral:misc_RNA from 1 species